UACAGAGGGUGCGAGCGUUAAUCGGAAUUACUGGGCGUAAAGCGUGCGUAGACGGUUAUCUAAGUCGGAUGUGAAAGCCCCCGGCUCAACUGGGGAGGGUCAUUCGAUACUGAUCGACUCGAAGGCAGGAGAGGGAAGCGGAAUUCCCGGUGUAGUGGUGAAAUGCGUAGAUAUCGGGAGGAACACCAGUGGCGAAGGCGGCUUCCUGGCCUGUUCUUGACGCUGAGGCGCGAAAGCUAGGGGAGCAAACGGG
rnacentral:rRNA from 1 species